rnacentral:rRNA from 1 species
AUUGAACGCUGGCGGCAUGCCUUACACAUGCAAGUCGAACAGCAGCACGGGAGCAAUCCUGGUGGCGAGUGGCGAACGGGUGAGUAAUGUAUCGGAACGUGCCCAGUCGUGGGGGAUAACGUAGCGAAAGCUACGCUAAUACCGCAUACGAUCUAUGGAUGAAAGCGGGGGACCGCAAGACCUCGCGCGGUUGGAGCGGCCGAUAUCAGAUUAGGUAGUUGGUGGGGUAAAGGCCCACCAAGCCUGCGAUCUGUAGCUGGUCUGAGAGGACGACCAGCCACACUGGAACUGAGACACGGUCCAGACUCCUACGGGAGGCAGCAGUGGGGAAUUUUGGACAAUGGGCGCAAGCCUGAUCCAGCAAUGCCGCGUGCAGGAUGAAGGCCUUCGGGUUGUAAACUGCUUUUGUACGGAACGAAACGGCUUUUUCUAAUACAGAGAGCUAAUGACGGUACCGUAAGAAUAAGCACCGGCUUACUACGUGCCAGCCGCCGCUGUAA